rnacentral:rRNA from 1 species
UGCGAGUCAACGCCGCAAGGCGUGGCAUACGGCUCAGUAACACGUAGUCAACAUGCCCAAAGGACGUGGAUAACCUCGGGAAACUGAGGAUAAACCGCGAUAGGCCAAGGUUUCUGGAAUGAGCCAUGGCCGAAAUCUAUAUGGCCUUUGGAUUGGACUGCGGCCGAUCAGGCUGUUGGUGAGGUAAUGGCCCACCAAACCUGUAACCGGUACGGGCUUUGAGAGAAGGAGCCCGGAGAUGGGCACUGAGACAAGGGCCCAGGCCCUAUGGGGCGCAGCAGGCGCGAAACCUCUGCAAUAGGCGAAAGCUUGACAGGGUUACUCUGAGUGAUGCCCGCUAAGGGUAUCUUUUGGCACCUCUAAAAAUGGUGCAGAAUAAGGGGUGGGCAAGUCUGGUGUCAGCCGCCGCGGUAAUACCAGCACCCCGAGUUGUCGGGACGAUUAUUGGGCCUAAAGCAUCCGUAGCCUGUUCUGCAAGUCCUCCGUUAAAUCCACCCGCUUAACGGAUGGGCUGCGGGGGAUACUGCAGAGCUAGGAGGCGGGAGAGGCAAACGGUACUCAGUAGGUAGGGGUAAAAUCCUUUGAUCUACUGAAGACCACCAGUGGCGAAGGCGGUUUGCCAGAACGCGCUCGACGGUGAGGGAUGAAAGCUGGGGGAGCAAACCGGAUUAGAUACCCGGGUAGUCCCAGCUGUAAACGAUGCAGACUCGGUGAUGGGUUGGCCUCGAGCCAACCCAGUGCCGCAGGGAAGCCGUUAAGUCUGCCGCCUGGGGAGUACGGUCGCAAGACUGAAACUUAAAGGAAUUGGCGGGGG